GACGAACGCUGGCGGCGUGCCUAAUACAUGCAAGUAGAACGCUGAAGAGAGGAGCUUACUCUUCUUGGAUGAGUUGCGAACGGGUGAGUAACGCGUAGGUAACCUGCCUUGUAGCGGGGGAUAACUAUUGGAAACGAUAGCUAAUACCGCAUAACAAUGGAUGACACAUGUCAUUUAUUUGAAAGGGGCAAUUGCUCCACUACAAGAUGGACCUGCGUUGUAUUAGCUAGUAGGUGAGGUAAUGGCUCACCUAGGCGACGAUACAUAGCCGACCUGAGAGGGUGAUCGGCCACACUGGGACUGAGACACGGCCAGACUCCUACGGGAGGCAGCAGUAGGGAAUCUUCGGCAAUGGGGGCAACCCUGACCGAGCAACGCCGCGUGAGUGAAGAAGGUUUUCGGAUCGUAAAGCUCUGUUGUAAGUCAAGAACGGGUGUGAGAGUGGAAAGUUCACACUGUGACGGUAGCUUACCAGAAAGGGACGGCUAACUACGUG
rnacentral:rRNA from 1 species